GCCUUCGUAGUGUAACGGUAGCACAUUAGGCGCGCAUUCUAAAAGUCCAGGUUCCAGUCCCGGCGAGGGCA
rnacentral:tRNA from 1 species